GCAAACGGACACAAGUGAAAGGUCUACAGAGUCUCCCCUGUCUGCCUCUAAAUAUAGUAACCACAAAUCUCUCCCUUCCAUGGAGUUUGGGUCGCACUGAAAAUUCUCUCUCACCUUCACUCGCUUCUGCUUCAACCCCCUCACUCUCUCAUUAUUGCAACUACACUGUUUAGAGUAUUAAAUCCAUUUCUUCCUCGUGUUCUGGGCUAAUUCCGGUUUCCCUGUACUCGGUUACUCUUUGGCUUUUUAUUCAGUAUCUGAAUUUGAGUUUUUGCUUCUAUUCAGUCCUCUGCUUAAGUCCACGCGCAGUCUUUAGUUAUUCCUAUUUCCGUUGAGCAUAUUCGCUUACCGUUUCACAGGAAUUAAGCAAGUUCCCUCACUUGUGGCUUCAGGACGGAUAAUUUCUUUGCUUCUCUCUCUCUCUCUCUCUCUUAAGACUCAUUGUUACUCCCUGCAAGCUUUCUGCUCCGUUGAAGCUUAUACAAAUCUAAAUCAACUUUUGGGUAAAGCAGUACUGUUGACAUAAUAUUCUUGAAUCAAUUGAAGUGGGUCCUUUACUUUUCCUCGGACUCUGAUUCUUGCAUAUGUAAUGGAGUCUUGGAGAUACAGUUCUGAAGAACAGGGUUUUGUGCCCAAUAAUACACUUCCACCUUCCAAUACACCUGCGAGAAGUAAAAAUUCCUUCCUGGGUUGGGGAUUCAAAACUCAACCUAGUUUUUCCGGCAACGUUUUGGCCCCAGCUCAACAACAUUUCGAGAGUCAAGAUUGUGAGGAAUUGGGAUUUCCAGAAAUGUUGGGGAAACAGUUGUUAAAUGAUCCGCUUGGCUGUAUUAUGAAUGAUCCGAAUUCAUUUUCUGGAGGUGAAGACUCUGCUUCAAAGCUUUCAAACUCUGUGGUUGAUUCUAAUGGCCGGGAUUCCCUCGUUGAUUUGAAGUUGGGACGAGUUGGUGAUCAAAGAAAUGUCAUUGAAUCGCCAUUUCCCAAAGGUAUUCCCUUUUUGUGUUCAUCAGAGUCAUCUACGACCCCCAGGAGAGUGAGAACUUCAGGGGUUCAGUCACAGACUGCUUACUGCCAAGUGUAUGGCUGCAACAAGGAUCUAAGCGCCUCUAAAGACUACCACAAGAGGCAUAAAGUUUGUGAGGUUCACUCCAAGACUGCUAAAGUCAUAGUGAAGGGCAUAGAGCAGAGGUUUUGUCAACAAUGUAGCAGGUUUCAUUUGCUGGCUGAAUUUGAUGAUGUUAAGCGCAGCUGUCGCAAACGCCUUGCAGGCCACAAUGAGCGUCGUAGAAAGCCACAAAUGGGUACUCACUCUGGAAAGGGAAGGAAGUUAAUUCCGUCGUAUAAUGAUAGCAGAUUCCAGGGUAGCAUGCUAACAAGAGCAUCUUUUAUCUGUCAAAAGAUACUUCCUAGUGGUGUUUUGCAUUCUGAGAAGUAUGGCACUGAUAACUGGCGGAAACCUAUAAGGGUCCAAGGUGGCAGUGAUUUUAGACAUAUCUCUGCUACUCCUAUCACAAAUGGGCGUUCUCAAUCAAGAUCUCUGCUUCCUUCAUAUGCUGAAAAGCAAUAUCAGCUCCUGAAUGAAACUGGUGCUCUGCCCACUACAGGAAGCAUAUUCUGUGAGAACAGUAGUCAGUAUCCGCUUGCUCUUGGACAUAGUUAUUCUGGGCCACGAUCACCAUACCAAGACACCAUCUUAGGAAGUAAUGACUUUAAUGUUUUUGAUACAGCAUCAACCAUUCAGGGAUUAUCGGGACUUACAGGCUCGGGUUGUGCUCUCUCUCUUCUGUCAUCUCAAUUCCAGAACUCAUCAAGCCAUUCAUCAGCAAUGCCCAUGGGUCGCCCCAGCCACUACAGCUUGAGUCAUGCCUCUGAAAAGGUCAUGGGAAUAAGCUCCCAGGCUUCUACAGGUGGGGUGUCAGCGUCAGGUAGUUUUCCUUCAGAAACAAAUCAUUUUGAUGGAGGUCGUCUUGGCCCUGUGUUGAUAUUAGACAAUAAUGAAAUGGUGGACAUAGAAAUCGCAGAUGGUAUUUUUCAAGGGUUAGAUGCUGUGAAUAUGAAAGCCCGUCAUGAUGGCCCCACUAUUAACUUGCUUCAACUGUCAUCACAGCUUCACCGAGUUGAUCAUCAACGCCAAUCCUUGCAGGUGAAGCAAGAAAAUGAUUCUUUUUGCUCCCUCCGGAUUACUUAGGUGAUUUGGAAGAGGUACAUCUUGAAAAGUUAGCAACAAGCCAUUUUUCUUUCUGCAAAGUAGAUUAGUUGACCACUUUGCUGCUGAUGUACAACAAUUUUCUCCGAGAAUAAUGUACCAACCUGAAAUGGUGUUUUUGCUUCAUGGGAAAAUGAGUAGUCUGUGCCUAUCAGUUUACAAAUAGUGAAAGAAACAUUGAUUUAUUUCCCUUCGGAUUCUGACGGAAUGAUUGAUAUUCUUAAACAUACGAGUGUGAUACUUUAAGAUGGAAGUAAUUGUGAACGGAGCAUGAUCCAGGUCAUUGACACAAGGAAAAAGGAAGAACGGCAUGAGGCAGAGGCCGAUGAUAUGACAGUCCUUCUGAGGAUUAAACAACGUAAACGGAACCGUUUUAAGCAAUAGGGAACUUCAAAUGGCUUCAAGUUUCCAAGAAUGAUAAUUGUUAGUUCGAAAAGGCUGAUGCAUUUUGGUCCCUUUCCGGGGCAUCGGCAGUUCAUCUAGGUCCAUCAUUGAUUAGGACUUGAAACUUUUGAUUUCUUCUAUAGUCUGUAAUUUUUUGUUUUGGGAGAAAUUCUAAAGUCAACCAAGCUGAUAUGUAUUUAACUCCAAGUCCAAGUUGAAUUUGUAUUUUAUUUUCAUUGAAUAAAUUGUGAAAAUUUUCAUUGAAAUUUGAUUAUCCUUCCUGUUA